rnacentral:lncRNA from 1 species
GUAAAAGUCUGCACCAGCAGAGGUGAACCAAUUUUACAGUUGCUGAGAUGGCAUUGUUGCUAGGAAGAUGUUACCCACGCAUACCAUUUUUCAUCAGCUUGAAUGGAUGGAAAACAGAAGGUGGCAAAUCCAGACUAUAUGGCAGGUAUGGUAAGACAGUCCAGCCAAGAUUGGCAGUGUUCUCCAUGGUCUUCAAGUUAAUAUGGAGCCUGGCAUUAUACUGUCACCUUCAGUAUCAUUUUGGAUCAAUAGAUCCUGACAAACUUAACAUACGGUGUUCAUUUUGUUCCUGUGUGAGCAUUCGUGGGACCGACUUGGUGCAAACUUUGUGAUAUUCCAACCUUUCCACCAUUGUUUCCAAUGCAUUUCAGCUGAUAUUCAGCUCUGUAUGCAGUUCCCUCAUUGUAAUCUGCUGAUUUACCCUGAUGAGCUGGUUGAGAUGCUCUUUUUUUUUGGUGUGACAGUUGUGUACAGCCUUUGGAACGUGGCUUUUCUUUCACAUUACUGUUGCCACUGCUGAAACACACCACCCACCACCUCCCUGUGCUCACAUUCCCUUUUUGUUCCCCAUAAAGGUUCAGCAAGUGUCAGUGAAUAUCUAUGGGUGAAAUUUUUUCCACAUGGAGGAGUUCAGUGACACACCUUUGUUUCAUAUGCACUUUCAUGUCAGAUGGCAACAAAAUGUAAUGGAAUAUUGGUAGGAAGGUUCAGCCUCUACUGCAGUACCACCAACGUCUGCCUCUGAUGUUGUGGGCCAAAAUAAUAAAUUAGGAGGCAUUACUUU